rnacentral:rRNA from 1 species
UACGGGGGGAGCAAGCGUUGUUCGGAUUUACUGGGCGUAAAGGGCGCGUAGGCGGCCACCGCAAGUCGACUGUGAAAUCUCCGGGCUUAACCCGGAAAGGUCAGCCGAUACUGCGGGGCUAGAGUGCAGAAGGGGCAACUGGGAAUUCUCGGUGUAGCGGUGAAAUGCGUAGAUAAUCGAGAGGAACACCUGCGGCGAAGGCGGGUUGCUGGGCGUGAUGACUGACGCUGGAGGCGCGAAAGCCAGGGGAGCGAACGGG